rfam:Leuconostoc citreum KM20, complete genome.
AGUUAUCAAAGAGGUUGCAACCAACAUGAUUAGCGCAAAUGAGUUCGCCAAGAACUGUGACUUUGCGUCAAAGGGGCGGUUGCCGAAAUAUCAUUUAAGGCAGAAUGAUAUUGGGCUAACAACUAAUACUUGUUAGACUGUCACAGUGAUGUGGUGUGCUUUGAAAAGU